rnacentral:rRNA from 1 species
UACGAAGGGGGGCUAGCGUUGCUCGGAAUUACUGGGCGUAAAGCGCACGUAGGCGGCUUUCUAAGUCGGGGGUGAAAGCCUGUGGCUCAACCACAGAAUUGCCUUCGAUACUGUUUGGCUUGAGUAUGGUAGAGGUCAGUGGAACUGCGAGUGUAGAGGUGAAAUUCGUAGAUAUUCGCAAGAACACCAGUGGCGAAGGCGGCUGACUGGACCAUUACUGACGCUGAGACACGAAGCGUGGGUAGCAAACAGG